rnacentral:rRNA from 1 species
UACAGAGGGUGCGAGCGUUGUUCGGAAUUAUUGGGCGUAAAGCGCUUGUAGGCGGCUUGUUAAGUUCCGUGUGAAAUCCCCAGGCUUAACCUGGGAAGUGCGCGGAAAACUGGCGAGCUUGAGUGCCGGAGAGGGUCGCGGAAUUCCCGGUGUAGAGGUGAAAUUCGUAGAUAUCGGGGAGGAACACCAGUGGCGAAGGCGGCGACCUGGACGGACACUGACGCUGAGACGCGAAACGUGGGGAGCAAACAGG